AAUUGUUAGACAAUUGCAUUGUUCACUCUCUUAUUAAAUUUAAAAUUAUUAUUUUUCUGCAGUGAUGUAUUGAUCAUAGACUUAAUACAUGUUAAUAAGUCAGGUUUUUAUUUAUGAAAGACUGCAGGGAAAAAUGAUAAUAGUCAAUAUUCCUAAGAUUUUUAGAUUACAAUUUGUAAGUUUCAAAACUCUAAGAUCAGGAGAUAAAAUAUAAGAUAA